CUGAGCUACUGGGCAACAACAAACCAGGGCACAGGGGUGGAUGGUCAGCAGGAAGGUCGGGCCUUCCAGCCUGAGUCAUCAUCUCUUCCUGCUGGCAUCACAGGAACACAGAAAUAUCCUGUUUGGUCCUUGCUGUUUAUCACCCUCAUACCCUCUGCAAGGUUUCAGGAACCUACUAAUUUUCGUAUAUCUGGGCACAAGGCCAGGGAUCCAAGCUUCUUCUUCUCUAGGGCUGUAAGGACCCAUGAUGCACCCAAGGAAUCCGUCCCCUCUUCUGCUGAGGGUUAAGAGCCUGGACAACGUUUCCUGUGCAGCCUGGGCCAGGAAGCCAAGGGCUACUGCAAAGUCAGUGAGAAGGACCCCGGGAUGUUCGAGGGCCCACUGCCUGUGGAGGAAGGCAGGGUGGCAAGUCUUUGGUAGACACAGGUCCGGAAUCUGUCCUCCAGAGUUAUCACUGAGGGAAAAGGAUGGAGAAUAAAAUUUAAACAGC
ensembl:lncRNA